rnacentral:lncRNA from 1 species
CUGUAUAUUAUGUUUGGAAGAGGAUUUUUCUGGAAAUCUAUGAAAUACGGCUAAACCCAGUGUUGACUGAUUCCAACAUCAGACCUUGUUGAGGCAAAUCUCAGGCAGCACAUCUAUACUAUAUGGAUAACUGAGCUGCAAAUUUACCAAAAACUUGAAUAAGGUAAUAAUGGAUCAUAUUAGAUAGGGACACAUUAGUUAUUUUAUUCAUAUUAAGAUUAUGUCUUUACUUCAAGUAUUGCUGAUCCUGCUUCUGUUUAUUUAAGAAAACAUGCAAGUUUCUUGUAAUUUUUCUCUCUCUCUCUCCUUUCCUCUUGCUUUUAUCUGUCUUCAAUUUUGCUUUUACCUGCUCAUGUAUGUGAGUGUGCAGGUGGUCUGUAAUAUACUACAUUAUCUGAAGCCAGUCUUGUUAUGAAUCUUGAUUGAAAUAAUAGUUUUGGAUGUGUUUGGAUUUAAUUUAAAGCCAGUGUGGCACAUUUACUCAAACAGUGUUCAAUUGCUGUAUUUCAAACUUGAUGAGUUUUUGAUCAUGUGGGAGUGAAGAUUGUGUGGUUACCUGCCAUGUUUUUAUUCUGACACCAUUCAUCGUGUUUUGCAUAAUGAUAUCACGGACAGUGAUGUUUGAGACACAGGCUUUGGUAUUAUCCUUUCCCAAGCUUCCAAUGCUGAUCCCAUGCCCUGGUCCACAGUUCACGUUGUGAAUGUAUACAUUUGAGCAUCCUGUUUGUAUGGAAACACAGUCAUCACCUGCACCAAUUAUUAGAUUUUUAAGAGCUCAG